rnacentral:rRNA from 1 species
UCCAGACUCCUACGGGAGGCAGCAGUGGGGGAUAUUGCACAAUGGGGGGAACCCUGAUGCAGCGACGCCGCGUGGGUGAAGAAGCGCCUCGGCGCGAAAAGCCCUGUCAGCAGGGAAGAAAAUGACGGUACCUGAAGAAGAAGCCCCGGCUAACUACGUGCCAGCAGCCGCGGUAAUACGAAGGGGGCAAGCGUUAUCCGGAUUUACUGGGUGUAAAGGGGGCGCAGACGGCGAUGCAAGCCAGGAGUGAAAGCCCGGGGCCCAACCCCGGGACUGCUCUUGGAACUGCGUGGCUAGAGUGCAGGAGGGGCAGGCGGAAUUCCUGGUGUAGCGGUGAAAUGCGUAGAUAUUAGGAGGAACACCAGUGGCGAAGGCGGUCCGCUGGACAGCAACUGACGCUGAGGCGCGAAAGCGUGGGGAGCAAACAGGAUUAGAUACCCUGGUAA